UACGUAGGGUGCGAGCGUUGUCCGGAAUUACUGGGCGUAAAGAGUUCGUAGGCGGUUUGUCGCGUCGUUCGUGAAAACUUUGGGGGCUUAACUCCAAGCGUGCGGGCGAUACGGGCAGGACUUGAGUACUACAGGGGAGACUGGAAUUCCUGGUGUAGCGGUGAAAUGCGCGAUAUCAGGAGGAACACCGGUGGCGAAGGCGGCUCGCUGGGCUCUACCUGACGCUGAGGCGCGAAAGCGUGGGGAGCGAACCGG
rnacentral:rRNA from 1 species